rnacentral:rRNA from 1 species
GACGAACGCUGGCGGCGUGCUUAACACAUGCAAGUCGAACGGUAAGGCCCUUCGGGGUACACGAGUGGCGAACGGGUGAGUAACACGUGGGUGAUCUGCCCUGCACUUCGGGAUAAGCCUGGGAAACUGGGUCUAAUACCGGAUAGGACUCCUGGCUUCAUGGUUGGGGGUGGAAAGCUUUUGCGGUGUGGGAUGGGCCCGCGGCCUAUCAGCUUGUUGGUGGGGUAAUGGCCUACCAAGGCGACGACGGGUAGCCGGCCUGAGAGGGUGACCGGUCACACUGGGACUGGGAUACGGCCCAGACUCCUACGGGAGGCAGCAGUGGGGAAUAUUGCACAAUGGGCGCAAGCCUGAUGCAGCGACGCCGCGUGAGGGAUGACGGCCUUCGGGUUGUAAACCUCUUUCAUCUAUGACGAAGCGCAAGUGACGGUAGUAGCAGAAGAAGGACCGGCCAACUACGUGCCAGCAGCCGCAGUAA